CUUGAAUAUCUAUAAGAGGUCCAGCCUGCCCAGUGACUUUGUUCAACGGCCGCGGUAUCCUAACCGUGCGAAGGUAGCGUAAUCACUUGUCUUUUAAAUGGGGACUUGUAUGAAUGGCAUCACGAGGGUUAUACUGUCUCCUUUUUCUAAUCAGUGAAACUAAUCUUCCCGUGAAGAAGCGGGAAUAAACAUAUAAGACGAGAAGACCCUAUGGAGCUUUAAACUCAAUAACAAAUACUAACCUUACAUCAACUUUCAGAAGAUCAACCUUAAUUUUAGUAUUAUGAUUAUUAGUUUUAGGUUGGGGUGACCGCGGAGUAAAAAUUAACCUCCACAUUGAACGGGACCUGUCCCUGAGCCAAGAACUACAGCUCGAAGCACCAACAAAUUGACAUUAAUUGACCCAAUAUUUUGAUCAACGAAC
rnacentral:rRNA from 1 species